AAAUGUCUUUACACUACUAUGAGAGAACUUGUUGAGAAUGCACUUGAUUCGGCUGACAUUGUAGAGAUAACCAUUGAAGAGAUUGGCUGAAGUAAAUUUAAUUCCAUGAUUGGUCUGGCUGACCAUGAACGUAGAUAUGAAGCCCUGUAUGAUGAUUUUGUGACAGCAAAGUCUCGUGAGAAAUGACUUGCCAAGGAAGCUCGGGUUCUAGAGGUUUAAGCAAAGAAUGUUGCUCUUGGGAAGAAAGUAAAAGACCCUGCAGCUACAAAGGCAACUAAGGGUAGGGAGGCAUCAUAUUUUAGGGUGGCAUGCAUGGUUAAUGGAAGAGGAAUGCCACAUGAUGAUAUCCCGAUUAUGUUUGGACGA